rnacentral:lncRNA from 1 species
GUACUUCCUCCAGCAUUUGCCGCGAGUUAUUGGCAAGUUCCCCUGCAGUUGUUUGGGCUGUCGCUGUGGCUGGUUCUGCGGUGUGCGGCCAGCCAUGGAGCGCUCUGGGCCCAGCGAAGUGACAGGCUCAGACGCAUCGGGACCGGACCCGCAGCUUGUGGUCACCAUGGGCUUCACGGGGUUCGGGGUUCGGUAAAAAAGCUCACACAUUUGACUUGGAAGCAAUGUUUGAACAAACUCAAAGAACAGCUGUGGAAAGAAGUCACAAAACACUGGGCCACCAGGAACACACCUGUAGCCCAGCAAAGUUGAGGCCAUCGACUGGCUCAUCACAACAAGGAAGGCUGUGCACCACUGGGACCCAGCAGCAGCUCAGCAGCAGCAGUGAGAGGGCCUUGGGAAAGACUUGGAGGGUUUGGCUUAUACAAGACCAGAUUACAGAGGGGUAUUGAUUUGCCUUGCCCCCGCCCCCACCAUCACAGUGUGUCCCUGUCCAGUGUUGGUGCUGUGUGGCAUUGCUUGUGUCCAUAGGAGUCCAUCAAGGCAGAGCGGCAGAGCGGCAAGCAGAGCGGCAAGGCAGGUCAGCUUCCGGCUCUUCCAGGCUGCAUGUCCCCCUCAAUAUCCUUUCAACCCAAUGGAAAUGGAUUGAAAGAGUGAAAGUCACUGGUCUCAAAGAAUCUACGGAAUUUAGCAUUUUGAAAAUCACAGAGCAAUUUUGGGUAGGUAUUCACAUGCACUAAAAAACCAGGCAAACAUCUGACUCCCAGGAUAAAGUGACUGAGAGCAGUAGAAGACUUGUUGAGCCUUAAGGAAUAAGAGGAAAAUUAUGUUAUGAAGUGCAGGAACAGCACAGACCCAGACGAGGGGAUGCAGCCCGGAGCCAGUAACCCGGCGCCUCCUCCUCCCCAGGGCGCAGCGCUGGCUGCUCCCCGGAUACCGUGAUCACACGUCCCAGGUCCUGAGAGCGCCUCAUAGGUAGACAGUUCUUUGGGACUUUUGGGACGCAGCACUUGAAGAGAGGUUUACCUAAACUUUCCUCCUGGGAGCCUGUCAUCAUUUGAAAGUAACAGAAGAAAGCUGUCAGGCUGAGGAAAGUUUCAACAGGCACUUGGUGAGAAUGGGAAGCAUCCAUUCAUUGGGAAAUCACGGGGACAGAGGAGGAAUUCACGGGAUCAGAGCACUGAGAAACUCCAGAGGCUUCUGGUUCACCGCCCUGAUUCCACAGAUGUGGGUCAGAGGCAGAGAUGGAAGUUGGAAUGGACAAGCCUGCCCUCUCCUCAGCUCUCCAUGGCUCUGUCCUCAGGCUGUUUCUGCAAUUUGACAUGAGGCCUGGCCCCAGGGAAACCAGUGGGGCCUCAUCUCCUCCCUGUGCUGCUCUGAGGUGGAGCCUUCUCAGGGUCAGUCCAGCUCUGGAGCCCCUCUCCAGCUCGGUCACCAAAGCUGUCUGGUCCCAGGGCAGUGUGGAGUGACAGGCACGCCAGCCAAUCCAAUCGGCCAUUUCAUACCCAAUGCAUGUGACUGAUAAAGAGAUAACACCCUGUCUCCAAGACACAGGCUUUACAUAAACAGCUUUAAUGACUUCUUCACUUAGGGACAAGACUCCUUAGUGGUGGAACCUCAGGCAUCCAUGCAGGAUGUAAGAAAGCUCCCGUAUAUACAUGAACUGAGAAGUGUGUAGAAGAGUAAAUACUGUAAUAG